rnacentral:tRNA from 1 species
AAGGGUAUAGCUGGGUGGUAGAGCACGUGCUUAGUAUGCACAAGGUCCUGGGUUCAAUCCCCAGUACUUCUG